AUACGUAGGGGGCGAGCGUUGUCCGGAAUGAUUGGGCGUAAAGGGCGCGUAGGCGGCGCGGUAAGUCUGGAGUGAAAGUCCUGCUUUCAAGGUGGGAAUUGCUUUGGAUACUGCAGUGCUAGAGUGCGGAAGAGGUAAGUGGAAUUCCCAGUGUAGCGGUGAAAUGCGUAGAGAUUGGGAGGAACACCAGUGGCGAAGGCGACUUACUGGGACGGAACUGACGCUCAGGCGCGAAAGCGUGGGGAGCGAACAGGAUUAGAUGCCCUGGUAGUCCACGCCGUAAACGAUGAAAGCUAGGUGUUGAGGGUAUCGAGCCCUGCAGUGCCGGAGUAAACACAAAAAGUAUUCCGCCUGGGGAGUACGGCCGCAAGUUUGAAACUUAAAGGAAGUGACGGGG
rnacentral:rRNA from 1 species